GAUGCGCCCACGUUUGUCGGUCACGCCGGAUUGCCGCAGCAACUCGCCGCGCGCGGCGCGUUCUAUCGCGAGGGCCUCGAAAAAAUUCUCGGCGCGGGGGAGGUGGGCGAGGUGGUGAUGCCGACCAUGCUGGUGGCGAGGGACAAGCCGGCCGAACUCGAUCUUGGCGGUCGUGGUCUCAUCCUGACCGCGCAUCAGCCGGCGCAUACGGUCAGCGAUCUCAGCGUGCGCGACAAGCAAUCCGGAAUUCUGUUCGCCGGCGAUCUGUUGUUCGUCGGGCGGGCGCCGUCGCUCGAUGGCGAUCUCAAGGGAUGGCUGAAGGAGCUGGCAGCGAUGCGCGCCUCGGGUGUGGGUCAGGCGGUGCCCGGCCAUGGUCCGCCGCUGGUGCCGAUGCGGGCUGCGGUGGCGCCGC
rnacentral:misc_RNA from 1 species